rfam:Lodderomyces elongisporus NRRL YB-4239 supercont1.1 genomic scaffold, whole genome shotgun sequence.
GGAGAGUUGACCGAGUUGGUUAAGGUGACAGACUUAAGUUUUGUAUGGUAGGUUCAAUGUCCUACUUCAAAGAUCACUUAGUUAUCUGUUGGUAUGUCUACCGCGCGAGUUCGAAUCUCGUACUCUUCA